ACUCAAAUGAAUUGACGGGGGCCCGCACAAGCGGCGGAGCAUGUGGCUUAAUUCGAUGCAACGCGAAGAACCUUACCAAGGCUUGACAUGCAGGGAAAUCCCGUGGAGACACGGGGUCCGUCAGGGUCCUGCGCAGGUGGUGCAUGGCUGUCGUCAGCUCGUGUCGUGAGAUGUUGGGUUAAGUCCCGCAACGAGCGCAACCCCCGUCCCAUGUUGCCAGCGGUUCGGCCGGGGACUCAUGGGAGACUGCCGGGGUCAACUCGGAGGAAGGUGGGGACGACGUCAAGUCAUCAUGCCCCUUACGCCUUGGGCUGCACACAUGCUACAAUGGCCGGUACAAUGGGCUGCGAUGCCGCGAGGCGGAGCGAAUCCCAAAAAGCCGGUCUCAGUUCGGAUCGGGGUCUGCAACUCGACCCCGUGAAGCCGGAGUCGCUAGUAAUCGCAGAUCAGCAAUGCUGCGGUGAAUACGUUCCCGGGCCUUGCACACACCGCCCGU
rnacentral:rRNA from 1 species